ACCAAUAAGCUAUGCAUCAUGCUGAAGUUUUAUUGCUUGUGCAUAUAAUCUUACAGUCGUAAAACUUAUACUUGAAAUUGAGUUUGAGUUGAAAAAAAUAUAAAUAAAUAAAUAUUAGAAAAAGAAAGAAAAAAACAAAAUAAAAAAACAAGAGAAGCUUACCAUAAUGCAGUUGGCGGCCCAGCCCUUCGUGCAGCCCACUCCAUGAUCGAGUGCCAUCACAUGUAGUUUUUUUUACCAAUUCUUUAUUCUCCUUGCCGGAGCUUGCGUCACCCCUUUCAUCAUGAUGAGCUCAGCAUGCAAGCCACCAGAAGUCCUCACGAACGUGCUGCGUAUGGGUCUUGGUCGCUGCGUAUGGGUCUGAAUUCACCAAAAUCUUCUAGUUCACGGCUGUACCAGACUCAUACGCCAAAUACGGUGCAGCCCAGCUCCCUCACGUACACACGAUCUUUGGCCGAUGGCCCACUGGUCAGGCUCUUCUGACGCGCAUGCUCGUAUCACUCUCACCGGCUGGUGGGGUAUCGCAGUCAGGUGCGUCUCCUUCACCAUGCCGCAAGGACUGGACUCCGCCGCGCACGCCCGCGGGAUUCGGCAUGGUCUGUUGAGGAAGCACCCUGCUGGCUACUGGGAUCCACUAGUCAGAUCCUCUACCUCCCUUCUUAUCCGGUCAAGCAGGCGCGCAGAUCGUCCGUCUUAGUCGCUACCUGGUGCCACUCGCCGCGCGCAGGAAGGCUUCGGGAUGGGACCCACCGGUCGAGUCUAUCAUCUCCCUCUUCUUCUCCCGCUGUCUCGGUAAGGGACUCGGUGCCGCACUUUGGCGUCCGCAUGAGCCACGAUUUCCCUGCGGUCCCGUCGUUGCGGUUGUUGGGGGUCAACCGUAUCCUCGGGCAUCCGGUUGCAUGCCGCAGUUGCCGCCUUGGAGCUCGUUGUGGCCGUUGCGGCCAACCCCGCAAGCCCGUCCUUCCUCCGCUAUAAGCCUCUAAUCGCUUGUGACCGUGCCCCUACCUUCCUUUGAACCAGUCCCCGAGAGCUCCGUGUCCAUGGACUCGCCACCGCUAAACAGAGAGUAGGGGGAAAGCGCCGCCGCGAAGGCGUGGCCGGCCACAUCGAGCGGGACCUUGGUGACUGGGAGGGUGGCCGAGAUGGGUGCUGGUGAAGGGACUCGCGCACGCGGGGCGCCGUGGGAGUAGUGGAGAUUGUUCGCCGGAGGUGUGAAACUACGCCAAGUUACCCUCCGUCGUGAACCCGCUCGGCCAUCGCUUAACCCUCCGCGCGAGGUUUCAAGUCACCUGAAGUUCACCCUGGUAACUGGAUCUCAAGUGUCAGGCAAGUUGUGCCCUUGAUCACUUACUUUUCCCAGCCAUGUUCUUGUUAAUUAUAAUGAUCUGCAUAGGUUAAUUUUGAUGGGACCUAAUAGGUUACCCUAGUUUUGGCUAUCUUUAUACCUUGUUUACCACUGAAAUAUUUCUUUGGGUAGUACCUGCUAUUGCUUUAUGUGGAUUUGGGUAUGAAGAUACUUUAUUCAUAACUACAUCUUUAUUAUCUGUUUAUUAUUACUAUGCAUGUUAAGAUCAUUAUGUUAAUAGGAACAUGGAGCGACCACCCAGGAAAACAGUGCUACCACAAGGGUAUAAUGGGACGCCCUUGGCUGAUUAACUAGGAAAGCUAGUGGAUGUCUUCCUUACCCGAAAGGGGCAAGGGCAGUAGGGGAGUGGUCAGUGUAGGGAGGUCCUUGGGUUGAUUUUGCUACGAUGGCGGUCAGGCAAGAACCCUGCACUGGAGCUUCCUAUAAACUGUAGCGGGAUUUCUGAAGCUAGUGGAACUUUGUAAAGGCCUCGUAGUGUUACCCUGCCUCGCCUCCUCGGUAGAGGUGUAAGGGAUUGGCCAUAUCUUGGCAGAUGGGUAACAUGACUUGUGGGUAAAGAUGCGCAACCUCUGCAGAGUGUAAAACUAGUAUACUAGCCGUGCUCACGGUCAUGAGCGGCUCGGACCCUCACAUGAUUAAUUAUGGAACUUAAAUUUAAUUUGACAUUUGCAUCGCAUUUGGGAUUAUUUUACUAUUACUGUUCUUUAUUAUUAUUAAGGUUUGGUAUUUACUUACACUUAGUAAUUGCUAAUAAAAUUUUGACCAACUUAUAAAAGCAAUGCUCAGCCUCAGCCUUUAUUUCAUUGAUCAGCCUUACACUACAUGAACUCCCACCUUUGGUGAGUUCAUGCCACCUUAUUCCCCACGACUUGUUGAGCUAUGAACGUAUGUGAGCUCACUCUUGCUGUCUCACACACCCCCCAACAGGAGAAGAACAGGUGGUCGAAGAGGAGCCGCCUAACACUGAGGCAUUCGACUUGAUCUAGGUGGCGUUUCUCAGUCGACAUUGGCGCCGACGAUCCUUAGUUCGUUUUAUGGUUAUUCCUUUAUUUUGUAAUAAGUCUUCCGCUAUGUAAUAAUUACUCUGAUGUUAUGUGACAUUUAUCUCUAUACACUCUGUUAUUAUAUAUGUUGUCUUCUUGGCGCAUGUAUGAGAUGCACCCGGCUUUGUCCUUUAAAACCGGGUGUUACAGAAGUGGUAUCAGAGGAAAUGUUGACUGUAGGACGAUACCUAGAUAGAAAUGGACAAACUCUUACCUACUUAUCUUAUUCUGAUUCAUUCUAUACUUACCUUACCCUGAUUCUUUCUAUACUUAUCUCAUCUUGAUCCUAUCUCACCUUUUGUUGUUUCACUCUGAUUACUCUUAUCUCUUCUACUCCGAGACAAGAUGGAUUUCACACCUUGGAAUCCAACAACUAUGAUCUUUUUAAGAGAUAGGGAACCUAAAACAAAACAAUUUUCUCUAUUUAAAAAUGUUGGUUGAUUGUUCUGAUGAUCAAUGCAUGAUUUGCUUCUUUGAUUGAUUGAAAUAGUAUAGACGGACAUCUUAGCAUGUACCACCAUAAGGUAAUGUAUUAGCGUUAGUAUGUGACACGCUAAUCUACUUAGCUAAUAAAUCCCCCGCAGUAACAUUCCUCGUAAUUACUCGCCUUGUCUACAAAUCUUCCUUUCUUACCCUGUGUUUCUAACCCAGAUGGGCUACCCCUAUAGUGUUAGAAGAGAACACUAUAGACGUGAUCCUUGUUAUGUCAUGGUUAAGAAAGGCAAAGGUAGUUUAUACACUGUGCUAAAGGAACCAUUGAACUCACCAGUUCCAAAGGACAAAGAUUUGAAGGUUGAAUUGCAGUAACUACCGCCACCAGACUAGCGGCAUUCUUAGUAGAUGGGAAGUUUGUUGGAGUCAACAUCUGUGUGGUUAGAGAUUUUUUCGGAUAUCUUCCCAGAAGAGUUACCAGGGAUGCCACCAUAUAGAGAAGUUGAGUUUGUUAUUGAUCUCUUACCUGGAACUGCCCCUACUUUCAAACGCCCAUACAGGAUGUCUGUAGAAGAGUUAAAGGGACUGAAGAAGCAGUUAACGGAAUUACAAGAGACUGGGUACAUUCGUCCGAGUUCCUCACCUUGGGGAGCACCAGUUCUGUUUGUACAGAAGAAGGAUGGAUCACAACGGAUGUGUGUGGAUUAUAGAUCACUUAAUGAUGUUACUGUGAAGAACAAGUAUCUGUUACCCCGUAUUGAGGAUUUAUUCGAUCAAAUGAGAGGUGCAAAGGUAUUCUCAAAGAUUGAUCUCCGAUCGGGUUACCAUUAAAUGAAGAUUAGGCCAUCAGAUAUCCCCAAGACGGAUUUCUCGACUCGAUAUGGAUUAUAUGAGUUUACUGUUAUGUCAUUUGGAUUAACCAAUGCACCAGCUUAUUUCAUGAACUUGAUGAAUAGGGUGCUUAUGGAGUAUUUGGACAGAUUCGUCGUGGUGUUCAUCGAUGAUAUCCUUAUCUAUUCUAAGAGUGAAAGUGAUCAUGAACAACACCUGAGGUUGGUGCUACAAAAGCUGCGAGAUAAUCAACUCUAUGCAAAGUUCAGCAAGUGCGAGUUUUGGAUUGACAAGGUGCCAUUCCUUGGACAUAUUAUUUCUAAUGGAGGAAUAGCAGUGGAUCCUGCUAAAGUGAAGGAGAUUAUGGAGUGGAGAGUGCCCACUACAGUUACGGAGAUUCGGAGUUUCUUGGGACUUGUAGGAUACUAUCGAAGAUUUAUUGAAGGAUUUUCUAAGAUUCUUAAGCCUAUGACCUCGCUUCUGGAGAAGGGAAGAGAAUUUAAGUGUGAUGAGAAGUGCCAAGAUAGCUUUGAUCAAUUAAAGAAGAGAUUGAUGUCACCACCAGUAUUGAUUAUGCCAGAUCUGCAGAAGGGAUUUGACACUUACUGUGAUGCAUGUGGCCAAGGACUUGGAUGUGUGCUCAUGCAAGAAGGACAUGUGAUUGCCUAUGCAUCUCGUCAGUUGCAGAAACAAGAGUUAAACUACCCCACUCAUGACUUGGAAUUGGCUGCUGUUGUGCAUGCGCUUAAGAUUUGGAGACAUUAUAAUUGGAACCGAGUGUCAAGUAUACACGGAUCAUAAGAGUUUGAAGUAUAUAUUCACUCAGAAGGAUCUCAACCUUAGGCAACGCCGUUGGUUGGAGCUUAUUAAGGAUUGUGAUUUGGAGAUUCACUAUCGCCCAAGCAAGGCAAAUUUGGUUGCAGAUGCCUUGAGUCGAAAGGAGCAUGUUCAUUCAGCUGUUGUUGCCCAGCUACUUGAUGAGAUUAUUGAGGAUUUCAGGAGACUUAACCUGGGGAUAGUUGCUCACACUAAAGGAGUUAUUAAUGAUGUGGAACCUACCUUGGAGCAAGAAAUCCGCAAAGGACAAACUGGCGAUGCUAGGAUACAAGAGAUCAAGCAUCUAAUUACUAAAGGACGAGGUCCAGAAUUCACGGACGAUGAGCAAGGCACAAUAUGGUUCACGAAUCGGAUAUGUGUUCCGGAGAUUGAAAGCCUUCGUGAGACUAUUUUAAAGGAGGCCCAUGACUCGAAUUAUUCUAUUUAUCCUAGGAGUAUCAAGAUGUAUCAGGAUUUGAAGCAGAAGCACUGGUGGUAUGGAUAGAAGAGAGAUGUGGCUGCACAUGUGGCUAUGUGCGAUGUGUGUCAAAGAGUUAGGGCUAAACACCAGAGGCCAGCUGGAUUACUGCACCCACUUAAGAUUCCGAGUGGAAGUGGAAAGAGAUUGGUAUGGAUUUUAUUACUGGAUUGCCUCGCACCCCGAAAGGAUAUGAUUCGAUAUGGGUGAUUGUGGAUAGACUGACCAAAGUGGCUCGUUUCAUUCCGGUCAAGACUACUUAUAAGGUAUCUCAAUUGGUAGAAUUAUAUAUGGCUCGGAUUGUGUCUCUGCACGGUGUACCAAAGAAGAUCAUUUCAGAUAGAGGAUCACAGUUUACCUCCAGAUUUUGGAAAAGUUUUCAUGAGAAUAUGGAUACGAAGUUGAAUUUUAGUUCGGCCUACCAUCCUCAGACUAAUGUACAGACUGAAAGGACUAAUCAAGUAUUAGAAGACAUGUUGAGCGCUUGUGCCCUUCAACAUGGUAGUAGUUGGGACAAGAGUCUACCUUAUGCUGAGUUCUCAUAUAAUAAUAGUUAACAGGCCAGUCUGAAGAUGUCACCGUUCGAGACUCUGUAUGACAGGAAAUGCAGGACACCUCUAUAUUGGAUCAGACUAGAGGAAGACAGUUCUUUGGACCUGAACUUAUUCAAGAGGCAGAAGAACAAGUCUGUAUAAUCAGGGAGAACUUGAGGGUAGCUCAAACCAGGCAAAAGAUCUACGCUGGUAGUAGAAGAAAACCACUGGAGUUGAGGAAGGAGAUCAUGUGUACCUCAAGGUGUCACCACUUUGUGGAAUGAGGAGAUUCAAUGUUAAGGGCAAAUUGUCCCCUCGCUUUAUUGGAUCAUUCAGAGUUUUUAGGAGAGUUGGAGAGAUGGCCUAUCAACUCGAGCUACUUGAUAAUCUAUCUGAUGUGCAUAAUGUAUUUCAUGGGUCUCAACUUAACAAGUGUCUCCGUGUCCCUAAGGAACAGUUACCAAUGGAAGAGCUCAGUGUUCAGGGUGAUUUGACUUACACGGAGUAUCCGAUCGAGAUUCUUCAUACUUUGGCUAGAGUUACAAGAAAUAAGGUGAUAAAUAUGGGUAAAGUGCAAUGGAGCCAUCAUGGCGAAGAUGAAGCAACUUGAGAGAGAGAAAAAGAGCUUCACAUAGAUUUUCCCCAUCUUUUCCCUAGUUCUUCCUAAAUCUCGAGGACGAGAUUUGUUUUAAGGGGGGUAGGAUUUGUAAUACCCAAAUUGUAGAACAUAAGAAAGGAGUUGAUCUCGUUACUUGUUUGGCUAUCUACUCAUUAUAUCAUAAGAAUAGUCAUGUUUAAAGUAAAAACAAAUUAGAUAAAAGCACACCAAUAAGCUAUGCAUCAUGCUGAAGUUUUAUUGCUUGUGCAUAUAAUCUUACAGUCGUAAAACUUAUACUUGAAAUUGAGUUUGAGUUGAAAAAAAUAUAAAUAAAUAAAUAUUAGAAAAAGAAAGAAAAAACAAAAUAAAAAAACAAGAGAAGCUUACCAUAAUGCAGUUGGCGGCCCAGCCCUUCGUGCAGCCCACUCCAUGAUCGAGUGCCAUCACAUGUAGUUUUUUUUACCAAUUCUUUAUUCUCAUUGCCGGAGCUUGUGUCACCCCUUUCAUCAUGAUGAGCUCAGCAUGCAAGCCACCAGAAGUCCUCACGAACGUGCUGCGUAUGGGUCUUGGUCGCUGCGUAUGGGUCUGAAUUCACCAAAAUCUUCUAGUUCACGGCUGUACCAGACUCAUACGCCAAAUACGGUGUAGCCCAGCUCCCUCACGUACACACGAUCUUUGGCCGAUGGCCCACUGGUCAGGCUCUUCUGACGCGCAUGCUCGUAUCACUCUCACCGGCUGGUGGGGUAUCGCAGUCAGGUGCGUCUCCUUCACCAUGCCGCAAGGACUGGACUCCGCCGCGCACGCCCGCGGGAUUCGGCAUGGUCUGUUGAGGAAGCACCCAGCUGGCUACUGGGAUCCACUAGUCAGAUCCUCUACCUCCCUUCUUAUCCGGUCAAGUAGGCGCGCAGAUCGUCCGUCUUAGUCGCUACCUGGUGCCACUCGCCGCGCGCAGGAAGGCUUCGGGAUGGGACCCACCGGUCGAGUCUAUCAUCUCCCUCUUCUUCUCCCGCUGUCUCGGUAAGGGACUCGGUGCCGCACUUUGGCGUCCGCAUGAGCCACGAUUUCCCUGCGGUCCCGUCGUUGCGGUUGUUGGGGGUCAACCGUAUCCUCGGGCAUCCGGUUGCAUGCCUCAGUUGCCGCCUUGGAGCUCGUUGUGGCCGUUGCGGCCAACCCCGCAAGCCCGUCCUUCCUCCGCUAUAAGCCUCUAAUCGCUUGUGACCGUGCCCCUACCUUCCUUUGAACCAGUCCCCGAGAGCUCCGUGUCCAUGGACUCGCCACCGCUAAACAGAGAGUAGGGGGAAAGCGCCGCCGCGAAGGCGUGGCCGGCCACAUCGAGCGGGACCUUGGUGACUGGGAGGGUGGCCGAGAUGGGUGCUGGUGAAGGGACUCGCGCACGCGGGGCGCCGUGGGAGUAGUGGAGAUUGUUCGCCGGAGGUGUGAAACUACGCCAAGUUACCCUCCGUCGUGAACCCGCUCGGCCAUCGCUUAACCCUCCGCGCGAGGUUUCAAGUCACCUGAAGUUCACCCUGGUAACUGGAUCUCAAGUGCCAGGCAAGUUGUGCCCUUGAUCACUUACUUUUCCCAGCCAUGUUCUUGUUAAUUAUAAUGAUCUGCAUAGGUUAAUUUUGAUGGGACCUAAUAGGUUACCCUAGUUUUGGCUAUCUUUAUACCUUGUUUACCACUGAAAUAUUUCUUUGGGUAGUACCUGCUAUUGCUUUAUGUGGAUUUGGGUAUGAAGAUACUUUAUUCAUAACUACAUCUUUAUUAUCUGUUUAUUAUUACUAUGCAUGUUAAGAUCAUUAUGUUAAUGGGAACAUGGAGCGACCACCCGGGAAAACAGUGCUACCACAAGGGUAUAAUGGGACGCCCUUGGCUGAUUAACUAGGAAAGCUAGUGGAUAUCUUCCUUACCCGAAAGGGGCAAGGGCAGUAGGGGAGUGGUCAGUGUAGGGAGGUCCUUGGGUUGAUUUUGCUGCGAUGGCGGUCAGGCAAGAACCCUGCACUGGAGCUUCCUAUAAACUGUAGCGGGAUUUCUGAAGCUAGUAGAACUUUGUAAAGGCCUCGUAGUGUUACCCUGCCUCGCCUCCUCGGUAGAGGUGUAAGGGAUUGGCCAUCUCUUGGCAGAUGGGUAACAUGACUUGUGGGUAAAGAUGUGCGACCUCUGCAGAGUGUAAAACUAGUAUACUAGCCGUGCUCACGGUCAUGAGCGGCUCGGACCCUCACAUGAUUAAUUAUGGAACUUAAAUUUAAUUUGACAUUUGCAUCGCAUUUGGGAUUAUUUUACUAUUACUGUUCUUUAUUAUUAUUAAGGUUUGGUAUUUACUUACACUUAGUAAUUGCUAAUAAAAUUUUGACCAACUUAUAAAAGCAAUGCUCAGCCUCAGUCUUUAUUUCAUUGAUCAACCUUACACUACAUGAACUCCCACCUUUGGUGAGUUCAUGCCACCUUAUUCCCCACGACUUGUUGAGCUAUGAACGUAUGUGAGCUCACUCUUGCUGUCUCACACACCCCCCCACAGGAGAAGAACAGGUGGUCGAAGAGGAGCCGCCUAACACUGAGGCAUUCGACUUGAUCUAGGUGGCGUUUCUCAGUCGACAUUGGCGCCGACGAUCCUUAGUUCGUUUUAUGGUUAUUCCUUUAUUUUGUAAUAAGUCUUCCGCUAUGUAAUAAUUACUCUGAUGUUAUGUGACAUUUAUCUCUAUACA